GGGAGGUAGUGGACAAUAAAUAACAAUACAGGGCUCUUACGGGUCUUGUAAUUGGAAUGAGUACAAUUUAAAUCUCUUAACGAGGAACAAUUGGAGGGCAAGUCUGGUGCCAGCAGCCGCGGUAAUUCCAGCUCCAAUAGCGUAUAUUAAAGUUGUUGCAGUUAAAAAGCUCGUAGUUGAAUUUCAGGGUUCUUCCGUUGGUCAGGCUAACAAGUCUGUACUAGCGUGUAGAAUCUCUACCUUCUGGGGAACCAUCAUGUUAUUAAUUUAGCGUGGUGGGAAACCAGGACCUUUACCUUGAAAAAUUAGAGUGUUCAAAGCAGGCUUACGUCUGAAUACAUUAGCAUGGAAUAAUAAAAUAGGACGGUGGUCCUGUUUUGUUGGUUUCUGAAUCACCGUAAUGAUUAAUAGGGAUAGUUGGG
rnacentral:rRNA from 1 species